GAUGAACGCUGGCGGCGUGCCUAAUACAUGCAAGUCGAGCGAACAGAUGAGGAGCUUGCUCCUCUGACGUUAGCGGCGGACGGGUGAGUAACACGUGGAUAACCUACCUAUAAGACUGGGAUAACUUCGGGAAACCGGAGCUAAUACCGGAUAAUAUAUUGAACCGCAUGGUUCAAUAGUGAAAGACGGUUUUGCUGUCACUUAUAGAUGGAUCCGCGCCGCAUUAGCUAGUUGGUAAGGUAACGGCUUACCAAGGCAACGAUGCGUAGCCGACCUGAGAGAGUGAUCGGCCACACUGGAACUGAGACACGGUCCAGACUCCUACGGGAGGCAGCAGUAGGGAAUCUUCCGCAAUGGGCGGAAGCAUGACGGAGCAACGCCGCGUGAGUGAUGAAGGUCUUCGGAUCGUAAAACUCUGCUAUUAGGGAAGAACAAAUGUGUAAGUAACUAUGCACGUCUUGACGGUACCUAAUCAGAAAGCCACGGCUAACUACGUG
rnacentral:rRNA from 1 species